rnacentral:lncRNA from 1 species
AGCAUCGUGCUCAGAGAGCCCGGCCUCUGGGCGGGACCGGGCGGCCACUGGGCGGUGCUCCCGCGCUCCACCCUGCCUCUUCCUCCAGACUCAGUGGUGCUAGGGCAGCGUGACUGGUAAUUGUGGGGAGGCAGGGCGCUGCCGGCGUUGUCACCUCAACUUUCCGGAGCGUCGCGUCUCAGUGGCGUUCAAGGACACGCAGGCAAAGGCGUCUUCGAAUGUCAUCUUGGAUGCCACGGGCAACCAGCCUACCCACGCAUUAACCAACCUAGUCUCUAAGGCUGUCUUGUCACAGCACCUCGCGAGCAGGAGCAUAUGGGGCCUCCUAGGCGGCCGGCCGCGCUGUCACAGCAAAAGCACAGUGGACGCCUCGAAGUGGCACGACAAGACACAGCAGGGUGUUUGCGGUGGAUUCUGAGUGGUGUGGUUCCGCGAAAAUUUAUAAAACUGCCCCUUAAAAUUAUUUGCAGUUUCGACAUUCUCUCUAAAGAGCAGUUAAGUUGUUCUGAUGAGAAAAAAUAAGUAUUCUAAAAAUAUUUUUACCACCUACAUAAGUUUUCUGUGAACAGUCCUGCAAUAUUAGUGGAUCUCUCCCCUGCCAUCCCACACGCAUUUAAAUAUUAUGUACCUAUCAUCUAUCUUUCUGUCUGUCUAUCUAUCUAUCUAUCUAUCUAUCUAUCUAUCUAUCUAUCUAUCUAUCUAUCUAUCUAUCUAUCUAUCUAUCUAUCAUUCUAUCUAUCUAUUUAAGGGAGAUCUUGUCAGUUUCUGGGACAGUGACCAAGCUCUUCUUCCCUGGCUCUUCUAUCCUGGCCCCCUCCGGCCACGCCCCACACCGUGUUUUUUUUUUUUUUUUUUUUAAGAAGGGUAGCCCCGCCCCCACACCUAUGUUGGUCAUAGGCUGCUGGAAAAACACGGAGAGUUGGAUUAAGCAAAUUAACGCUACUAAAGUGGCUCAGGCUGUCAGACCCCGCGUAUUCCACUCUGAGUUAGGAACAGCUGUCAAGAUGACAGGAAGCUGUUAACGGGAUAGCAGUCGACCUCCUUCUCUGUGACUGACAAACCCAGAGGCAAAGUAUUGUCUGUGACCUCAAGCCCUGAGUUCCGCCGCAGAAGUGGCUGCAGGCAACUGAGCAUGCUCUGAACAGUGCCAGACUGCUGCACGUGGUUGCCUCUGGCAUCUGGCUGCCCAAGGUUGAGGAACAUCAAGACACCAGAGCUCAGAAGACAGGAGGAGGGAGCUGCCCUUACAGCAAGCAAUAGCAUGGAGCUGUCCUAGAUCUUCCUGCCAUGUGGAAGUGAGCUUGCUCGUCGAGAUUUUGGUGGACUGAAACUGUAGCUCGGUGGUAGAGUGCUUGCCUAUCGUGGACAAAAGUCCCGAGUUCCAGCGUCGAAGAAAACCACGCCAAAGCCUUGCUGCUGGAACUCUUGCUCUGGUGGUUAUUUUCCUCAGAUCAUAAGAAUCAGCGAAGUCUUCACACUGAAGAAGGAAAGUUCCAAGUUCAAGGACCAAGAUUAGGAUCAUUCUGGAACACCUUUUUGGGUUGGCAUUCAGAACUGAAAGUUUAGCUCUGUUGCACAAAGGGUACAGUGCCAGGUGAUGCACUCUUUGACCAAGAAGGAUAAAAUGGACUAAAGAAAAGGGGCCACCUACCCAUCUCAAAACUAUUAACCCAGAAUUGUUCCUGUCAAAAGGAAAUGCAGGGACAAAGAGUGGAGCAGAGACCGAAAGAAAGGCCAUCCAGAGACUGCCCCACCUGGAGAUCCAUCCCAUAUACAGACACCAAACCCAGACACUAUUGCUGAUGCCAAGAAGUGCUUACUGACAGGAGCCUGAUAUGGAUGCCUCCUGGGAGGCUCUGCCAGAACCUGACCAAUACAGAUGCAGAUGCUUGCAGCCAACCAUCAGAUUGAGCAUGGGGAGCCCAAUGGAAGAGUUAGGGGAAGGCCUGAAGGAGCUGAAGGAGUUUGCAACCCCACAGGAAGAACAAUAUCAACCAACCAGACCCUGACCCUCCCAGAGCUCCCAGAGACUAAACCACCAACCAAAGAGUACACAUGGAGGGGGAAGGAGGGGCAAGGAGGGGGAAGUGGGUUUAAGGAGGGGAAACUGGGAAGUGGGAUUACAUUUGAAAAGUAAAUAAAUAAAAUAACCAAUUUAAAAAAAAAAAAGAAAGAAAGAAAGGAAGAAAGAAAAGAAGAGCCAAUAGGACAGCCCAAAGUGCAGCGAUGCUACCAGUAAGCCCAUGAUUUAUAGCUGUGCUGUUCCUGCAGUAAUGCCCUGUGAGCAUCCCUGAGGCCAAAAAUUCAGAUGGAAUCCUCCUCAGAGCCCACUGCCUAAGUUUUCACUGAUCUUUACCAUCAGUCACACUUAAUAUUAAAUUGCCAAAGAAGAUUUGCCCAGAAUCUUUGACUUUCUACAACUUCCUCAUAAAAUACUUUUUUUUUUUUUCCUUCAAGCUGCUCUUCUAAUUGAUGUGUGAACACCUACGUCAGAUUUCAGUGCAUUUGUGAAGACAGAGGCACUGGGGGCACUUGGCGCAUUUACAGUCAGUGCAUCUGGGGACAAAGGCAGCAUAUCCUGUCUAACAGAGCACCAAACAUCAGAGUAUGAUGUAAUCCUAACUCGUGCUGCAAUCUUGAUUCCAUGUAAGAUCAGAUUCCAAGAGUGGGAAUUGGGAUUUUCUUUUAUAGGAAUGUGGGGGACACAGUUCACCUUCUGAAAGUGUGGUUUCCUUGAAGAAAAAUUAGCUUCCUGUAAGAGACCCAGCAAAUAUUUUGAGAGUAAAUACUCAUUUGCUAUGACUGCCAAGUAGAAUUUGCCAUUUUAACUUUGAACAAUAUGCUGAUGGACCUUGAAGUGUUAAGUGUAUGUUGGCCUUCCUAAGAAGCACACACACACACAUACACACACACACACACACACACACACACACACACGCUUCUCUAGAAUAAAAAAUAGUCUUAAAAAACAUAAAAACACCACUUCAAGACUACGCAAUAUUCUGCCAGUCUCACAUAAGAAGACAGAUUAUAUUAAGUGUGUCAGUUGUAAAAAAAAAAUCAAUAUUUAAACUGAUUCUGUUUUCUACCAUUCCUUAGAAUUGUUUCAACCUUGUAUCUUCAUCUAGUAUGCAGCAGGACACCCUGUUGAUGGAAUCAAAUAAUGCUUGUAUACAGUGACUUGUAUUUUUGAAGUUAAUUGAAUGGACAUGUCUAGUUGGCAUUGUUCAUAAAAUUUCAGGCUUAUAGUACGAUUUAAUCAUAUUGGAUGCAUAGUUCUUUCUAAAACUUGAAAUUUUCUUAAUAUCAGAUUUCCCAAAUUCCCACUGAUCUUUUCUGCAAGACUGCCACCUGCUGGCAAAAGGUUUGUUACUUUACAUAGAAAACAAUUGCACAGUUUACUCAGUGUACAAGGGGAUGCAUUACAACUUGAAACAUGUACCUAGGCUUUGGGGUUUCCUAGGUUGGUGUAAAUGACCGAAACAUAGAUGUCCCCAAAGCCCUCACCCUACAAGGUUUUAUGUGUAUUCUUUCCAGUUGGCUGUUAAUAGCAAGCCAUGAAUACAUGUGUCUGAGUCUUGGGAAGACGGGCCAACUGUGGCUCAGGCUCAUUCCUUUUGAAUGAUUGUGAAAUGACUAUGACUGUGGGCGAGGGGUCUCUAAGCAUUGUUAAAAUGUAUGCAUCUCUGAAGUCCUUUUGUAACUACAAUUUUUCUAAUGUAUUGGGAAUGCAGCUUUGUGCUCUGCCAGGACUGCCACCUUACUCCCCUGGCUGGCAGCAGCAGCCCCAGGACUACCCCUCACUAAGGACUUCCUCAGAUCUUCAUAAAGUGACACAAUUUUACACUGUGAUGACAGGAACUGCUUACAUGUGAGCUUGCAAGUCUGCUUUAAACAAUCUCCUAUUUCCUUGUCUGUAGCAGGGUUAACGAUUCUGUUGUAACAGGGCUAACAUUUUCUAGUUGUCUUGAAGUUUAAAUUAGAUUUCAAUAUAUACAUGAAAACUGUUAACUUUGUUAUUGGUAUCUCAGGGUCAGAUAUGGCACCACUAUCACCAGUAAUUAAAAGACUGAUCAA